AGGUACUGAUAGACUACUGAUAGGUACUGAUAGGUACUGAUAGACUACUGAUAGGUACUGAUAGACUGCUGACAGACUGCUGAUAGGUACUGAUAGACUGCUGACAGGUACUGAUAGACUGCUGAUAGGUACUGAUAGACUGCUGACAGACUGCUGAUAGGUACUGAUAGACCUCUGAUUUGUACUGAUAGACUGCUGAUAGACUACUGAUAGACUACUGAUAGGUACUGAUAGACUACUGAUAGGUACUGAUAGACUACUGAUAGGUACUGAUAGACUGCUGAUAGACUACUGAUAGACUACUGAUAUGUACUGAUAGACUACUGAUAGGUACUGAUAGACUGCUGAUAGACUACUGAUAGACUACUGAUAUGUACUGAUAGACUACUGAUAGGUACUGAUAGACUGCUGAUAGACUGCUGAUAUGUACUGAUAGACUACUGAUAGGUACUGAUAGACUGC
ensembl:lncRNA